GGGUGGGAGGGACUCCCCACACGAGUUAGACAGCAACAUUUUGUGUUUUCCUGAACCUCCGCACUGCUCUUCGCCAAACGCUGCUGCACAGAGAAAAGAAGGGACUGCUUGAUCCCACAGAGGCAGAGCUUCAUCUAGUCUGGCUUCAGAACUUUGUAGAACUUUUUCCCUGUUUGGCUUCUGGCAGACAAUUGAGACCAGAUGACACAGAGGCCGAUGGGGAGGCUGAUGCAGAAGAUGAUUCUGUCACUGAAAUAACAACUGAAAACAUACGACCAAGACCACAAGGAUCUUCUCCAGUUUAUGAGUAUUGCAUAGAAGACGAAUAUUUUAAC